GAGGUGUAAUUGAUUGCAGUAAACUUACUGUAGGAAUAGGAUGUGCAUCAAUAUGGGAUCUAUCGACCUCGGUAGCUGAGGAGCAGUCCUAUGUAAAUCAUAAAGCGGAGUCCCAAAGCCUAUAAUCAUGGCAUGUGAAAGAUAGAAAGGUGUUUCUAUUGGGUUUCAUAUUAGACUCAAGCCAAUUAAUUUUAGCAUAUGACAAGAAUCAAAUUUGACGACUUAUCCUUAACCUAUAUCUUAUUGGGAC
rnacentral:lncRNA from 1 species